rnacentral:rRNA from 1 species
GACGAACGCUGGCGGCGUGCCUAAUACAUGCAAGUCGAGCGGCCGAUUCGAAAGCUUGCUUUUGAAUCGUUAGCGGCGGACGGGUGAGUAACACGUGGGCAACCUGCCCUGUAGACGGGGAUAACACCGAGAAAUCGGUGCUACUACCGGAUAACACGAACUGUCUCAUGACGUUUCGUUUACAGGCGGCGCAAGCUGCCGCUACAGGAUGGGCCCGCGGCGCAUUAGCUAGUUGGUGAGGUAACGGCUCACCAAGGCGACGAUGCGUAGCCGACCUGAGAGGGUGAUCGGCCACACUGGGACUGAGACACGGCCCAGACGCCUACGGGAGGCAGCAGUAGGGAAUCUUCCGCAAUGGACGAAAGUCUGACGGAGCAACGCCGCGGGAGCGAAGAAGGCCUUCGGGGCGUAAAGCUCUGUUGUUAGGGAAGAACAAGUAACGUAGUAACUGACGUUACUAUGACGGUACCUAAAGAGAAAGCCACGGCUAACUACGUG